rnacentral:rRNA from 1 species
CCCUUAGAUGUUCUGGGCCGCACGCGCGCUACACUGAAGGGAUCAGCGUGUUUUCCCUUCCCGAGAGGGACGGGUAACCCGCUGAACCCCCUUCGUGGUAGGGAUCGGAGCUUGCAAUUGUUCUCCGUGAACCAGGAAUUCCCAGUAAGUGCAAGUCAUAAGCUUGCGUUGAUUACGUCCCUGCCCUUUGUACACACCGCCCGUCGCUACUACCGAUUGAACGUUUUAGUGAGGUAUUUGGACUGGGCCUUGGGAGGUUUCGGCCUCCCUUGUUGCUCGGAAAGACUCCCAAACUUGAGCGUUUAGAGGAAGUAAAAGUCGUAACA